rnacentral:rRNA from 1 species
GAUGAACGCUGGCGGCGUGCCUAAUACAUGCAAGUCAAGCGAACAGACGAGGAGCUUGCUCCUCUGACGUUAGCGGCGGACGGGUGAGUAACACGUGGAUAACCUACCUAUAAGACUGGGAUAACUUCGGGAAACCGGAGCUAAUACCGGAUAAUAUAUUGAACCGCAUGGUUCAAUAGUGAAAGACGGUUUUGCUGUCACUUAUAGAUGGAUCCGCGCCGCAUUAGCUAGUUGGUAAGGUAACGGCUUACCAAGGCGACGAUGCGUAGCCGACCUGAGAGGGUGAUCGGCCACACUGGAACUGAGACACGGUCCAGACUCCUACGGGAGGCAGCAGUAGGGAAUCUUCCGCAAUGGGCGAAAGCCUGACGGAGCAACGCCGCGUGAGUGAUGAAGGUCUUCGGAUCGUAAAACUCUGUUAUUAGGGAAGAACAAAUGUGUAAGUAACUAUGCACGUCUUGACGGUACCUAAUCAGAAAGCCACGGCUAACUACGUG